GCCCCGGUAGCUCAGCUUGGAUACGUUGCCCAACUAGGCGCGUAGCGUAAAUAGAGCGACUGCCUCCUAAGCAGUAGGUCGCGGGUUCGAAUCCCGCCUGGGGCG
rnacentral:tRNA from 1 species